GAAAUGCGAUAAGUAAUGUGAAUUGCAGAAUUCAGUGAAUCAUCGAAUCUUUGAACGCACCUUGCGCUCCUUGGUAUUCCGAGGAGCAUGCCUGUUUGAGUGUCAUGGAAUUCUCAACCCACACGUCCUUGUGAUGCUGUGGGCUUGGACUUGGAGGCUUGCUGGCCCUCGUCGGUCGGCUCCUCUUGAAUGCAUUAGCUUGAUUCCGUGCGGAUCGGCUCUCAGUGUGAUAAUUGUCUACGCUGUGACCGUGAAGCGUUUGGCGAGCUUCUAACCGUCCUGUAUGGGACAACCUCUUGACAUCUGACCUCAAAUCAGGUAGGACUACCCGCUGAACUUAA
rnacentral:rRNA from 1 species